rnacentral:rRNA from 1 species
GUGGGGAAUUUUGGACAAUGGGCGCAAGCCUGAUCCAGCAAUGCCGCGUGCAGGAAGAAGGCCUUCGGGUUGUAAACUGCUUUUGUACGGAACGAAACGGCUCUGGUUAAUACCUGGGGCUAAUGACGGUACCGUAAGAAUAAGCACCGGCUAACUACGUGCCAGCAGCCGCGGUAAUACGUAGGGUGCAAGCGUUAAUCGGAAUUACUGGGCGUAAAGCGUGCGCAGGCGGUUUUGUAAGACAGGCGUGAAAUCCCCGGGCUCAACCUGGGAACUGCAUUUGUGACUGCAAGGCUGGAGUGCGGCAGAGGGGGAUGGAAUUCCGCGUGUAGCAGUGAAAUGCGUAGAUAUGCGGAGGAACACCGAUGGCGAAGGCAAUCCCCUGGGCCUGCACUGACGCUCAUGCACGAAAGCGUGGGGAGCAAACAGGAUUAGAAACCCUAGUAGUCC